CUUCCUCGAAACCGUUUCCUGUGUGGCAAGCCCAUUGUUGUUCGUACUUCAAUUCGUAUUUUGAGUUUGAAAACACAUCAGCAAAUGUUCAUUCCAGACUGGUUUGAGAGAGACUUUUAACGAAAGAAGGUUAAUUCGACGUGUCGUCCAUUUAGAGAAAGGGAGGCUACUCCUACCAAGAAAUCAACAAGGGAUAUUCGCAAUCAAUGGUCCGUGCAUAUCUUGGUACCAGAGAUACAAGGAAAAAAAGAGUUUAUGGCGAAUAAUCGAUCUUUCGACCCAUGAAUUUGUAAAGACCACCUUAGAAUAUUCAUGUGUCAAUUUUAAGAAUCAUUGAAAAUGUUCAAUGUUAAAUG